rnacentral:rRNA from 2 species
ACGGGAGGCAGCAGUGGGGAAUAUUGCACAAUGGAGGAAACUCUGAUGCAGCAACGCCGCGUGAAGGAUGAAGGUCUUCGGAUCGUAAACUUCUGUCCUUAGGGAAGAUAAUGACGGUACCUUUGGAGGAAGCCCCGGCUAACUACGUGCCAGCAGCCGCGGUAAUACGUAGGGGGCAAGCGUUAUCCGGAAUUAUUGGGCGUAAAGAGUGCGUAGGUGGUUACCUAAGCAGGGGGUGAAAGGCAUUGGCUUAACCAAUGUUAGCCCCCUGAACUGGGCUACUUGAGUGCAGGAGGGGAAAGCGGAAUUCCUAGUGUAGCGGUGAAAUGCGUAGAUAUUAGGAGGAACACCGGUGGCGAAGGCGGCUUUCUGGACUGUAACUGACACUGAGGCACGAAAGUGUGGGGAGCAAACAGGAUUAGAUACCCUGGUA